rnacentral:rRNA from 1 species
UUAAGCGACUAAGCGUACACGGUGGAUGCCCUGGCAGUCAGAGGCGAUGAAGGACGUGCUAAUCUGCGAUAAGCGCCGGUAAGGUGAUAUGAACCGUUAUAACCGGCGAUUUCCGAAUGGGGAAACCCAGUGUGACUCGUCACACUAUCAUUAACUGAAUCCAUAGGUUAAUGAGGCGAACCGGGGGGAACUGAAACAUCUAAGUACCCCGAGGAAAAGAAAUCAACCGAGAUUCCCCCAGUAGCGGCGAGCGAACGGGGAGGAGCCCAGAGCCUGAAUCAGCAUGUGUGUUAGUGGAAGCGUCUGGAAAGGCGCGCGAUACAGGGUGACAGCCCCGUACACAAAAGCGCAUGUGCUGUGAGCUCGAUGAGUAGGGCGGGACACGUGGUAUCCUGUCUGAAUAUGGGGGGACCAUCCUCCAAGGCUAAAUACUCCUGACUGACCGAUAGUGAACCAGUACCGUGAGGGAAAGGCGAAAAGAACCCCGGCGAGGGGAGUGAAAAAGAACCUGAAACCGUGUACGUACAAGCAGUGGGAGCACAGGUUUACCUGUGUGACUGCGUACCUUUUGUAUAAUGGGUCAGCGACUUAUAUUCUGUAGCAAGGUUAACCGAAUAGGGGAGCCGGAGGGAAACCGAGUCUUAACCGGGCGUUAAGUUGCAGGGUAUAGACCCGAAACCCGGUGAUCUAGCCAUGGGCAGGUUGAAGGUUGGGUAACACUAACUGGAGGACCGAACCGACUAAUGUUGAAAAAUUAGCGGAUGACCUGUGGCUGGGGGUGAAAGGCCAAUCAAACCGGGAGAUAGCUGGUUCUCCCCGAAAGCUAUUUAGGUAGCGCCUCGUGAAUUCAUCUCCGGGGGUAGAGCACUGUUUCGGCUAGGGGGCCAUCCCGGCUUACCAACCCGAUGCAAACUGCGAAUACCGGAGAAUGUUAUCACGGGAGACACACGGCGGGUGCUAACGUCCGUCGUGAAGAGGGAAACAACCCAGACCGCCAGCUAAGGUCCCAAAGUCAUGGUUAAGUGGGAAACGAUGUGGGAAGGCCCAGACAGCCAGGAUGUUGGCUUAGAAGCAGCCAUCAUUUAAAGAAAGCGUAAUAGCUCACUGGUCGAGUCGGCCUGCGCGGAAGAUGUAACGGGGCUAAACCAUGCACCGAAGCUGCGGCAGCGACGCUGAUGCGUUGUUGGGUAGGGGAGCGUUCUGUAAGCCUGUGAAGGUGGCCUGUGAGGGUUGCUGGAGUAUCAGAAGUGCGAAUGCUGACAUAAGUAACGAUAAAGCGGGUGAAAAGCCCGCUCGCCGGAAGACCAAGGGUUCCUGUCCAACGUUAAUCGGGGCAGGGUGAGUCGACCCCUAAGGCGAGGCCGAAAGGCGUAGUCGAUGGGAAACGGGUUAAUAUUCCCGUACUUGGUGUUACUGCGAAGGGGGGACGGAGAAGGCUAUGUUGGCCGGGCGACGGUUGUCCCGGUUUAAGCGUGUAGGUGUGUGUUCCAGGUAAAUCCGGUUCACUUUAACACUGAGGCGUGAUGACGAGGCACUACGGUGCUGAAGCAACAAAUGCCCUGCUUCCAGGAAAAGCCUCUAAGCAUCAGGUAACAUCAAAUCGUACCCCAAACCGACACAGGUGGUCAGGUAGAGAAUACCAAGGCGCUUGAGAGAACUCGGGUGAAGGAACUAGGCAAAAUGGUGCCGUAACUUCGGGAGAAGGCACGCUGACACGUAGGUGAAGUGAUUUACUCACGGAGCUGAAGUCAGUCGAAGAUACCAGCUGGCUGCAACUGUUUAUUAAAAACACAGCACUGUGCAAACACGAAAGUGGACGUAUACGGUGUGACGCCUGCCCGGUGCCGGAAGGUUAAUUGAUGGGGUCAGCGCAAGCGAAGCUCCUGAUCGAAGCCCCGGUAAACGGCGGCCGUAACUAUAACGGUCCUAAGGUAGCGAAAUUCCUUGUCGGGUAAGUUCCGACCUGCACGAAUGGCGUAAUGAUGGCCAGGCUGUCUCCACCCGAGACUCAGUGAAAUUGAACUCGCUGUGAAGAUGCAGUGUACCCGCGGCAAGACGGAAAGACCCCGUGAACCUUUACUAUAGCUUGACACUGAACAUUGAGCCUUGAUGUGUAGGAUAGGUGGGAGGCUUUGAAGUGUGGACGCCAGUCUGCAUGGAGCCGACCUUGAAAUACCACCCUUUAAUGUUUGAUGUUCUAACGUGGACCCGUGAUCCGGGUUGCGGACAGUGUCUGGUGGGUAGUUUGACUGGGGCGGUCUCCUCCUAAAGAGUAACGGAGGAGCACGAAGGUUGGCUAAUCCUGGUCGGACAUCAGGAGGUUAGUGCAAUGGCAUAAGCCAGCUUGACUGCGAGCGUGACGGCGCGAGCAGGUGCGAAAGCAGGUCAUAGUGAUCCGGUGGUUCUGAAUGGAAGGGCCAUCGCUCAACGGAUAAAAGGUACUCCGGGGAUAACAGGCUGAUACCGCCCAAGAGUUCAUAUCGACGGCGGUGUUUGGCACCUCGAUGUCGGCUCAUCACAUCCUGGGGCUGAAGUAGGUCCCAAGGGUAUGGCUGUUCGCCAUUUAAAGUGGUACGCGAGCUGGGUUUAGAACGUCGUGAGACAGUUCGGUCCCUAUCUGCCGUGGGCGCUGGAGAACUGAGGGGGGCUGCUCCUAGUACGAGAGGACCGGAGUGGACGCAUCACUGGUGUUCGGGUUGUCAUGCCAAUGGCACUGCCCGGUAGCUAAAUGCGGAAGAGAUAAGUGCUGAAAGCAUCUAAGCACGAAACUUGCCCCGAGAUGAGUUCUCCCUGAGACUUAGAGUCUCCUGAAGGAACGUUGAAGACGACGACGUUGAUAGGCCGGGUGUGUAAGCGCAGCGAUGCGUUGAGCUAACCGGUACUAAUGAACCGUGAGGCUUAACCUU